UACAGAGACCUCAAGCGUUGUCCGGAAUCAUUGGGCGUAAAGAGCGUGUAGGCGGUUCGGUAAGUCGGCUGUGAAAGUCCAGGGCUCAACCCUGGGAUGCCGGUCGAUACUGCCGGACUAGAGUUCGGAAGAGGCGAGUGGAAUUCCCGGUGUAGCGGCGAAAUGCGCAGAUAUCGGGAGGAACACCAGUGGCGAAGGCGACUCUUUGGCCUGUAACUGACGCUGAGGCGCGAAAGCGUGGGGAGCAAACAGG
rnacentral:rRNA from 1 species